UGAUGUGCUCUGGGUACCCUUAAUACUCAUUGCUUUAGGAGGAACCAUGAGUGUGGUCUUGGAUUUGUCCUUCCCUGUGUGCGUUUGGAUCUCUGCUGCCGUUGCCAUUACCUACACACUGCUGGGAGGUCUCUACUCUGUGGCCUACACAGAUAUUAUACAGCUUGUGCUCAUAUUCUUCAGCUUGUGGAUCUGUGUUCCCUUUGCUUUGAUGAACCCUUACUCUUUGGACAUUAGCCAGACACUGAUGAACAACACCUUACACACUCCCUGGAUUGGUACAACAGGACUGAAAAAGACCUGGAUAA